UUUGAAAGAAAAUAAAACAAAUCAGACACAAAUGGGAGCAGAUCAUAGCGAGGCACAAAGAGGAAGGACCUGCCGCACAAAUAAUCCAUUUUAGGCGUAAAGGCGCAAAUCCGGGUCUCCAGGUGGGUUGACACGCGGACCCUCCCCUUUCUUAAAUGGCACCGUUUUGAUUUUGAUGCUAAAAUCCCUACUUUCAUUCAUUUUCUUUUCAAAACACAGAUGAAAAAAUAGCACCCUUGCUUUGUGAGGGCUCAUUUCAUCGCGCAGACACUAACCUUCAUCGGUUUGAUGGCCAAUGGUGCGGAUAAUGGCCGGAUCUUACCAACGGAGGCCGCGAUUCUGGAAAUCUGGUUCAGUUGUACGGAGAAGAUGACCUGGUGAUAUGGAGGCUGUACGCGGGUAUCUCACGUGGGAAGCCGACCCUCUGGUGCCCUUCCAAUGUAUUCCAGAACCUUCUGGAUACUUGGCUGCUGAAAUCCUUUUUUCUUUUGGGUUCUUUCGGGUUUGGGUUGGGUUUAGGAUAUGGGUUUAUGAAUUUGGGUUAAAAUCGUAUUUGGGCUGGUAUAAGCUCUUUAUUUGGGCCUAAAAAUUUGUAAAAAGAUAUUAGUAAUGGACUUUUAUUGGUUUUUAUCUUAA